rnacentral:pre_miRNA from 1 species
AGUGAGAUUACUGGGUCAUAUAGUAAGUGUAGGUUUAACUUUGUAAGAAAUUGCCAAACUGUUUUCCAAAGUGGAUAUACUGUUUUGCAUUCUCACCAGCAGU